AGUCCGCGAGGAUUCUGGGAACUGUAGUUCUGGUGUAGUUGAGCGGCCGAGGGCGGGGUGAGCGGUCGGGUCCUCUUUGGAGAGCGAGGCCUGCCGGGCCCGUGGCCUCACGGUGUCACUCCCCUGCUGCAGUAGGGUGGGGAUAGGCCGGGCAGGGCCUAGGGUUGGGAGUUGGGGAGGAGUGCGGCUGCUGGGGGAGUGCGGCAGCCCAGGCCGGCAGGUUCGGGCGGUUUCGUGCUUGGAGGAGGGGGCGCGGCUCGAGGUGCGCGUUUGUGGCGGGGAAAUGCGGUGACUCCUCUAGCUGCGAAUCCCUGAAUUGCGGGGCGUUACGCGGAACUUCACUCCUCGGCUGGGGCGAGAGACCUGGAACUCAAAUUUCUUUCUUGGAAACGGGGUGGGUAUAUUCUGGGCCAAACAAUUUACGAGUAGGGGGCAGCUCCAGUGCGCAUCCCCGGCGUUUAUUUGGGGUGUAGGGGUGUGUUCAGCCAGGGCCAAAUAGACAUCCCUUGUUAUGGGGGCUGGGGGCGCGGCUUGGGCCAUGUGUCCCUGGGUGUUGUUUGGCCUGGGAGCACUUACGUGCGUCCCGCAUCCCUGAACGGUUGUGGGAACCCAGGACUGAUCGUGAAUGUCAAGUUUUGUUUUUGAUGGGGCUGAAUAUGACCCAAUGGUGAUUGGGCGGAGGUGGGGUGGAGGAGAGAGCAUCUCAGGCCCUGCUCUGCGUUGGCUUGUUGGCGGUGGGUGGAGGUUCACCUUCUCACAUCCCUGCCUGCCCAGAGAGGACUGUAUAGAGAACGAGAGGACUUCUUGCAGGUGGAUACCACUCACCUUCCAUGUUUCUGCAGUGUCUUCUGUUCUCCAGACCUUAGGCAAAUUUCCUUUGCUCAUCCUGACGUUUUGUGCCCUGCAGUGUUCCAUUUGAGGCUCAGAGGACCUGCUUGUUUCUGUAGGAUACCAGGGCUGAUUUAAGGGCAAAGGCCUUUAACAGGGAAUAUUACCCCAGACAAGUGCUCUCAUUCAGGUUACCACCGUCCUUGCCCUAGCAACAUUUCAUCCUGGCUGCUGGAUUCCCAAGACUGUGUCAGCUGUUGUAAAAUAAAAAAUGAUGGUCCCGGCUGCAUGGCAACAAGUUGGGCUUUUAUAAGUAAGUUUUGGAGGAAUCACACCAGGCAGCAGAAAUUGAUCUUGAGAUGAAAUCAUUUCUACCAGGCCUCCUGGCAGAAUUUCAAGGCGAACACGGGGCUGACUCUGGGGCCAUGAUGUUGCCUGAUCCUUCUGCCUGGAGAGAGCAGGACUGGGAGGAGAUGUUGCCUUUGGAGAACAGGGAAGUUGCGGAAACUGAAGACACCGACUCAGAAUCACAAGGCAAAAGGUUUGCCUUCUCACAAGACUGACUGGCUUCAAGAAAAGGAGGGAAAAGUCCAAAAUAUUGAACCAAAGCCAGAGAUCUACCCCUGUUCUUCCUGCCUUCUGGCCUUUUUCUGUCAGCGGUUCCUCAGCUAACACACGCUGCAGAUCUUCCCGGGUGUGUGUGUAGAAAAUCACUUCCACCUGGGGGAUUCUGGCCUGGGGCAUCGGGGGCAGCAGUAUUCUGCUCACAGCUGCUGGAGUGAAAACACAGAAGGCCAAGAGAAAGAAGGUGACUCCAGACUCUGGUGCUCGAGGACAGAGGAGAGACGGCCCUUACGUGCAUUGCCCAGCCCACCCUGAGAACAGUCAGCAAGUCCUGGAGAAGGCAGCGCAGUGGUAGAAAUAGAGCCCAGCGCAGCCCAAAGGGUAAACCCUUUGCAAGCAGACAAAGAAAUGAAGGAAUUAGAAACCUCAAGCUCUGGAGCAGUCAACUGUCAAGAACGUGAACUAGACUGUAGCCCCAAAUCAAACUGCAUUACAAACCAGACCAUCCUCUUAGGGGAGAAGCCCUAGGUCUGCAGGGAGUGUGGGCGAGGCUUUAAAGAUAAGUCGAACCUCAUCAGACACCAUUGGACACACUCAAUGGAGAAGGCUUAUGUGUAUAGUGAGUGUGGCCGAAGUUUCAGCCAGGUGUCAACCCUUGUUAAUUACCGGAGGACACACACAGUGAAGAAGACUUACAUGUGCAAGGAGUGUGGGCGGGGCUUUAGCCAGAAAUCACUCCUCCUUGUGCACCAGAGGACACACUCAGGGGAGAAGUAUUAUGUUUGCAGGGAGUGUGGGCGAGGCUUUAGCAACAAGUCAAGUCUCAUAAGACACCAGAGGACACACCGAGAGGAGAAGUCUUGUGUAUGCAGGGGUCCUGGGCAGGACUUUAGCAAUUAGUCGAACCUCUUCUUACGCCAGAGAGACAUGCGGGGAGUAGUCUGUAU